rnacentral:rRNA from 1 species
AUACGUAGGGGACGAGCGUUGUCCGGAAUUACUGGGCGUAAAGGGCGCGCAGGCGGAUAUUUAAGUCAGCUGUAAAAGGCAUGAGCUCAACUCAUGUAUGCGGUUGAAACUGGGUAUCUAGAGUGCUGGAGAGGUAGGCGGAAUUCCCGGUGUAGCGGUGAAAUGCGGAGAUAUCGGGAAGAACACCAGUGGCGAAGGCGGCUUCCGGGCCAGCAACUGACGCUGUGGGGCGAAAGGCAGGGGGGCGAACGGGAUUAGAUACCCCGGUAGUCCUGGCCGUAAACGAUGAAGGCUAGGUGUGGGUGUCGAGAGGCAUCCGUGCCGGAGUUAACGCGAUAAGCAUUCCGCCUGGGGAGUACGAUCGCAAGAUUGAAACUCAAAGGAAUUGACGGGG